GCCGGCGGCAGGCUCGCGGCCGGCGGCCGGUUCAGGGCCGGCGGCAGGCUCGCGGCCGGCGGCCGGUUCAGGGCCAGCGGCUGGCG
rnacentral:tRNA from 1 species